CCUACGGGUGGCAGCAGUGGGGAAUAUUGGACAAUGGGCGGAAGCCUGAUCCAGCAACGCCGCGUGAGGGAUGACGGCCUUCGGGUUGUAAACUCCUGUCAUUGGGGAACAAUGCACAGAUAUUAACAGUAUUUGUGUUGAUAGUACCCGAAGAGGAAGAGACGGCUAACUCUGUGCCAGCAGCCGCGGUAAUACAGAGGUCUCAAGCGUUGUUCGGAUUCAUUGGGCGUAAAGGGUGCGUAGGCGGCGCGGUAAGUCGGGUGUGAAAUCUCGGAGCUUAACUCCGAAACUGCAUUCGAUACUGCCGUGCUUGAGGACUGGAGAGGAGACUGGAAUUUACGGUGUAGCGGUGAAAUGCGUAGAUAUCGUAAGGAAGACCAGUGGCGAAGGCGGGUCUCUGGACAGUUCCUGACGCUGAGGCACGAAGGUCAGGGGAGCAA
rnacentral:rRNA from 1 species